UGGCAGCACUGCUAUGCUGCAAACGUGGUUGUAUUUCGUUUCUAAAAAAUGUAUUGAAAAAUUUGUGUUUUUUGUACGAAAAUAUUCCGGUGUAUAGUGUAGUUGUGUAGCUAAAGAUGGACAUUUUCAUAGUUAAUUGAAAAAUUAGUGCAUUGAGUGGUUUAUUCCGCCAAGGGAGUGAUUUUGGAAGUUCAGGAUUUGCGGCCGAAAAUUUGAUUUCAUUUCAUGUUGCUGCGUGUGCGUUUUUGUUUGUCGUAGUGUGCUACUUGAUGCUACUACACUGAACAAAAGCUCCUACCACUAAUUGAAUGAUUUGUAAUUCACAUGGCUACAAAUCUGCAUAUUACUCGUUUUGAAUGAUUUUUAAACAAUAUGAUGCACCCACCGACUGCUGAACAAAAAUCAUCCAAUUUUAUGAUGACUUUUAGUAUACAUCUGUAUGACAAUGUGUUGAUAGUUGAACUUUAACAACACAAAUGAGUAACAUGCGGCUUAUGAGGGAUAUUCAUUUCUUCCAUGCCCCAAAUCAAAAAUCAUUCAAUUAUAGUCUAAAACUUCAUUCGGAUAGCAAAUGAUUCUUGACUUGAAAUCAUCCUUGUCAAUCUAAACAAAAACAUGGCGGCAGCAGCGGAACAUAGCAUUUCUUCUCGGAUUUCGCAGGUGACCAAGAACCGGUAAUCCUGGUUCGAUCCAGGGACAUUGGAGUGGAUAAUGUGGACACUUCCAGGAUGCUUCAAACAGCUAUAUUAAAGGCGGCUCAUUAGUGCGUGAAUUGUUAAUUGAUUUUUAUGUUGCCUAUUAUCAUCAAAAUAAAUGAUGACUUGUGGAAACCACCAA